rnacentral:rRNA from 1 species
GACGAACGCUGGCGGCGUGCUUAACACAUGCAAGUCGAGCGGUAAGGCCCUUUCGGGGUACGACGAGCGGCGAACGGGUGAGUAACACGUGGGUGACCUGCCCUCAGCUCUGGGAUAAGCCUGGGAAACCGGGUCUAAUACUGGAUAUGACUCCAUGACGCAUGUUGUGGGGUGGAAAGCCUUGUGCGGCUGAGGAUGGGCCCGCGGCCUAUCAGCUUGUUGGUGGGGUGAGGCCUACCAAGGCGACGACGGGUAGCCGGCCUGAGAGGCGACCGGCCACACUGGGACUGAGACACGGCCCAGACUCCUACGGGAGGCAGCAGUGGGGAAUCUUGCGCAAUGGGCGAAAGCCUGACGCAGCGACGCCGCGUGAGGGAUGACGGCC